UACGUAGGGGGCAAGCGUUGUCCGGAUUUAUUGGGCGUAAAGAGCGUGUAGGCGGCCAGACAGGUCCGUUGUGAAAACUCGAGGCUCAACCUCGAGACGCCGAUGGAAACCGUCUGGCUAGAGUCCGGAAGAGGAGAGUGGAAUUCCCGGUGUAGCGGUGAAAUGCGCAGAUAUCGGGAAGAACACCCGUGGCUAAGGCGGCUCUCUAGUACGGUACUGACGCUGAGACGCGAAAGCGUGGGGAGCGAACGAGGA
rnacentral:rRNA from 1 species